rnacentral:ncRNA from 2 species
UGACCUCGGAUCAGGUAGGGAUACCCG